CGUGGGUAACCUGCCCAAGAGAUCGGGAUAACACCUGGAAACAGAUGCUAAUACCGGAUAACAACAGAUGAUGCCUAUCAACUGUUUAAAAGAUGGUUCUGCUAUCACUCUUGGAUGGACCUGCGGUGCAUUAGCUAGUUGGUAGGGUAACGGCCUACCAAGGCGAUGAUGCAUAGCCGAGUUGAUAUACUGAUCGGCCACAUUGGGACUGAGACACGGCCCAAACUCCUACGGGAGGCAGCAGGU
rnacentral:rRNA from 1 species